UGGGGAAUUUUGGACAAUGGGCGAAAGCCUGAUCCAGCAAUGCCGCGUGUGUGAAGAAGGCCUUCGGGUUGUAAAGCACUUUUGUCCGGAAAGAAAUCCCUGGCUCUAAUACAGUCGGGGGAUGACGGUACCGGAAGAAUAAGCACCGGCUAACUACGUGCCAGCAGCCGCGGUAAUACGUAGGGUGCAAGCGUUAAUCGGAAUUACUGGGCGUAAAGCGUGCGCAGGCGGUUUGCUAAGACCGAUGUGAAAUCCCCGGGCUCAACCUGGGAACUGCAUUGGUGACUGGCAGGCUAGAGUAUGGCAGAGGGGGGUAGAAUUCCACGUGUAGCAGUGAAAUGCGUAGAGAUGUGGAGGAAUACCGAUGGCGAAGGCAGCCCCCUGGGCCAAUACUGACGCUCAUGCACGAAAGCGUGGGGAGCAAACAGGAUUAGAUACCCUGGUAGUCCACGCCCUAAACGAUGUCAACUAGUUGUUGGGGAUUCAUUUCCUUAGUAACGUAGCUAACGCGUGAAGUUGACCGCCUGGGGAGUACGGUCGCAAGAUUAAAACUUAAAGGAAUUGACGGGGUCAUAGCUGUUUCCU
rnacentral:rRNA from 1 species